AAAUUGAGUUGUUGCUGAAUGUAGUUAAAUCUACCUAACAUUUCCUUGUGUGUAUGAGGAAAGCAGCUAUAAAACAUGACUCAGAAGAAUCCAAUCACCAUUUUGGUUAGAGAGCAGUCUGUGAUUGGACUUAAACCAUGCUGUUAUCCACUCCCUACCUUGAUGGGAUGGCAGGACACAGAUGAAAAUCAAUACGUUCAGAAGAAGCCAGGAGGUCUCACAACCUAAUUUGGUUGCUGGAAUUGUCAGAAGUGCAACCUGUUCCACAUGCAGGGCCAGCUACAUGUGAGAAAGCCAACGGGAACUGGGGAGCAUCCAGUUCAGGACAUCGCGUCUCUUCGGGAUAAUAGCAUGGAUUGUGUUAAAUGUGUGGACAGCCUUAAACUACAAGAUGCUCCAACAAAGUGUGUAACACAGCCACAAGCUGCUUGAUAGAAGAUUCAGUUUUCGCAUCCUAAAGCUCAUUUCCUUCCAUAAGAUGUGCACAUGCUGGAAGGGAUGAAGAACCACACAUGUUCUUUCUCUGUCCCUGGGGGCCCUGGUCUGUAUCUGUCUGUGCACAAAUAUUAUGAUUGCUCCCAUCAGUAUUGGUGAAGGAAAAAACACACUAUUCUGGCUCAGAGUGGUGAAGACAGCAACUACAAUGGUUCAGCAUCACCAUUCAGCAAUCCACCAGAAUCCCACAGCAGCUAGAUCAGUUCCAUUGUCAACCCAUUAUUCUAAUGGGGAAUACUAUGCAAGCCUCUUUUGUAACAUACAGUUAUAUGUCCAUUUCGCCAAGCUAGAUAGGCCAAUGGUCUGACUCAGUAUAUGGCAGCUUCCUGUGUCCUAUGAGACACUUACCAGCUGUCCCUCUUUGACAAUAAUCACAGUAACAGUUUUACUGCCCAACUCUAUGAUCAUUAUUUACUCCAACAAAAUAAGCUAAAGAGAUCAAGAAAUAAAAGUAAUUGAAUAUUUAGACAUUAUAAUAGUAGCAUGUAGCAAAGACAGACCUGAAAACAACAGGCUACUCACCUGUAACUGUGGUUCCUCUAGUGGUCAUCUGUACUUUUACACCAAUGGGCUAUGCGCCUGCACAGAGACCU